UAAUCGCGAAAGGUAUAAGUCGUUCUCCUGUAAACGUCCAUCUCUACGGAUAUUUUCACGUGUGUUUUUGUGCUAUUUGUGAAUCGUAGUUUGAGUGUAAAGCAUCGAAAGGUGUGGUUGACAAGAAUCUACUCGUUUAUGGUCGAGGAAAAGAAUCAAACCGAAAAGAGGCGUUGAAACGUGCUUUCUCACAGCAGCAGAACAUCCGACCAUGGCAUAUUUUCCUCCUGCUGAGCAGUUAAUACGCUUUAAGAUGUGACUUCUCAAGCAUCAUCAUCGAAUCACAUUUUCGAUAUUGACGUAACCAAUUUCGUUCACCAAUUUAUUAAAAGCUCACCAUAUCAAUUCAAAGUUCUUAGCAAUACGAUUCUUUACAUGGUCAAAAAGAUUGCAUUUUCAACGAGCUGAGAUCCAAUGAGCUGCAUUAUCUCGUCUCGAGACCUAUUUUACACCAUAUCUUCUUCGUUUGAUAAAACGAUACAAUAAUAGGUUUCACGUUUUAACUGGAAAGCGAUCAUCGCAGGAUCGGGACGGCGUGGCAACAAAGACCUUAUUUCUUCUGUUCGUGGAUCAACGUCGUACAAUUGCGCCUAACUCCGACAAUCGAUCCGACCGUGGCCCAACUUGACAGCAAUUUAAAAUCGCUUCUCCUCCUGUGAGCCGUACCAAGUGCACCGUCACUAACUACAACAUUCUUUCACGAUACGUGUCCAUUUUUCUUCCGCUUUGUUCGCUUCAUGCGAAUAUAUAUCUACAUUUAAAUUUAUAAUGAAAAAUGGCGAUCACCUCGCCCAAAUGCCCGAAGGAGAGCAAAAUGGGAACCACUGUUAGAAGUUGGAUAGCGAGACCGAUCUUAAAUCCUGACCUCACGGACGAUCCAUCCCUCGAAGAUGUCUACGUGGGUGUACUUAAGCAGAAAAAGGAUAUCUCGACUGCGAUUCAGAGUAUUUCUUCCAUUCUGCCAGGUUUCCAGCAUCUCAAACGCUGCUCCUCCAACAAACUGUUAUUAGCACCGUUAAAUUGUACGAAAAUAUCAGCAGAAAUGGAAAAUUCGUCCGAAAAAUGUAUCUUGACAGAAGACAAAUUAAAAAUAAUGUUAAGAGAAAAAGGGUUUGACUUAUCUUUAUUGGAAGAUAAUUUUCAGAUAUUGAAAGUACCAGCAAGAAGAGCCAAAACGAAAGCGCAAGCGACUCGGGCCUCAAACAUUUGGCCUUUGAACUUUCAUCCAGAUCCAAAUAUCGAAUGUCUGAUCGAUGGAUCGAUUUUUACAGAACAUCAAUUAAACCUGAUAGAGAGGUAUAUGAACGUUGCAGUAGAGGCAGCCAAAUUAGAGGCUGUCGGUGAUCAGAAUUGCAAUGGCAGCGCUGUGAUUGUUGAUCCGGAGGAUGGAAGAAUUCUUGCAAUUGCUGCCUCGAAAAUCGAUCAACAUCCAAUGUGGCACGCAGCUAUGCUCGUCGUGGAUCUUGUUGCCAAACUUCAAGGUGGGGGUGCUUGGAAAUUAGAAUCAAAAUUUGAACAGAGUAGUAAUAAUUUAGAAACGAUCGAUUCUACAGAGAAAAUAGAAAAUUAUGUAACAAGGGAAAUAAAGAUUAAAAGGAAAUAUGUAGAGGAAGCUCCUCUUUAUUAUCCAACAUCGCUGUCGAAAAUUAAUCUUCCAAAAGAGGAAUCUCUGGUAUCUUCUGUGAUUCGACGAGGACGAAGGAAUAAUGAUUCCACGCAUAAAUCCGAACAGACGAGAGCAACAAACAUGGAAAAAUGUGGCCCUUAUUUAUGCACAGGAUAUUGGGCGUUUCUAUUAAUGGAACCAUGUCCUCUCUGCGCUAUGGCACUCUUACACUCUAGAGUUUUAAGGAUAUUUUACGGUAUUUCCAAUAAAACUACAGGCGUAUUAGGAACCAAGACGAUUUUACACGCUGUGCCAGGAUUGAAUCAUCGGUAUCAGGUUUGGAGUGGUGUUCUGGAGCAAGAAUGUCAACGAGUGUUACAAGAUAUCGAGCACAGAAAUAUGAAUUGAAUCACAUGAUGAUGCAUUCGCAACAAUUGAUCAUAAUUUUCUAUCAACGAACGAUUCGUGGAACAAUAUAAAGAUCAUAAAAUAGAUCAUAGGAGGAACAAAAAAAGAUUGGCUUCCCUUUAUAAUUUUUUACAUUUUAAGGAUUAAAAAUGUGGGGAAAAGAUGCAACCUAUAUUUGGAUGCAAUUCAACAAGCGUGAUUAUAAUUUUUUUAAUUUCUUUGGCAAUGACAUUCGAAAAAGAAUUGCCCUUGGCAUUGUCUCUGAACUUGCGUAAGUCCGUUCGAGAAAAAAAUAUUGAAAAUAAUAAUUUCAUCUACGUCAUAAGACUGUAAUUUAAUACAGAGUGAAUAGUUGGCCGGCAAACGAAUAAUCUUCCUCGUUGAAGGAACGAAGUGUUUGCUCGCGGUGGCAAGGAACAAGGUCGCGAAGUAAUUCGCUGUCGGUGGUCGUUGAUCUCGUUGGAUCGGUCGAAGAUUUUCUACGGAGUUUUUUCCCGCGGUCGUGUGGAUCGGACGUGACACGCGAGUAUCGUUGAUACUUGCGGGUCUGUCGAGCUUCCCCGUAAGGCAGACACACGGUUUAAUUUGUGUGGAACCGAGUAGCGCGUAUAACAAUGACCUCGCGGAUUAACUUCAAUCAGCGAAACUUCAGACGUCUAACCCCCUUGAGCAGGCCAGCUUUGCUGAACGGAUAUACGUGCAAAGAUGCGGAGAACAGUGGAAAACGUUUAGGAGAAAAUGUUGGAACGGGGGAAUUAGGAAGUAUUCAGACGAUUCAUUCGACGAGCACGAUGAAUGGGCAUUUCUCACUAACUAAUUCUCGGUGUGGAUAUUUUCGACGAAAAUCAAUCUAGGUUCUGCUUCUACGAUAUUAAUUUAACUCAUCGAUUUUCUGGGACGAAGUUUAACGAAGUUACGAACAACAGGCUGAAAGUUUAAGGAUCGCUGUCACAGAGCAGAGUAUGGAAGUUCAUUAACGACGAUAAAACGGAAAAAGUCGUAACAAAUCGUCUUUUCGUCUAAUCCUCCAGAAUUUUUGCUCAAAUACACUCUCGCGUAAACUGCGAGAAACUUUUAGUAACGGCUAACAAUUGUUGCACGUCCUUCGUUGCACCGUCUCUGGCACGUGGCUCUAAUAACGUAACCAGGAAACGCAUCGAUAUCCUCUCACCUCUUCGCAUUAGUCGCUUGCCCGGCCUGCGAUCGACUCGAAAAACUUCUUUUUUCCAUUUUUUGCCAUCUCAUCGGAGAGAAUUAGUAACGAAAACAUACUCCGCAAAGUUUCGAGAUAACGGCUCGCAAAAUAAUUAAUCCACGUGGCAAACGAGCAUCUUUUACGACGCAACUGCUCGUCAAAUUGAUGUAAACGUCGUCAUCGUGAUCUCGAAAUAGCGACGAAGACACGAGCGAGACACUGGAUCGUCGUGGAUAACGACGAUUAGAACCAGCUGGAUUUUAUUCGAUUUUGGAAAAAAAAAAAUAGAAGGGAUAUAGAUCGAUAAAAAAGAAAAGCGGAAGAGAUCAGGUAUUGAUCGAGGUUCAGUACUGUCGAUCAAAUUCGGGACGAUUUUACGAGGUAAACCAAGUCACAUUUUGCUCAUCAACACUGAGUGGUUCCAAUUGACGGUCGGGUCGACCCUCCAGCGUAGACACUAUUGGUCAGCCUUUUAAUACAGGCACUCGCGAUUGGAUCAGAUACCCGGAUCGUUCUUAGACAGAAGACAUCGCUGGAGCAUUCGGUUCAAAACUUUUAACGUCGUCAGUGUCGCGCAAUUUGUUGCCCGUACGCAAGGGUACACAGAUCCAAGAGACAUUCGCACAUCCAGUUUGUCUCAGUCGGUUUAAGUCGGUCAACGAUUGCGCCGAGUUUAUAAAGAUAAUCAACCAGAAUAAUCAACCAGAAGGAAAGAAUUGCAUCAGGAAGUCGAACCGUCUCGUCUGUGCUCUGGUUUCGAAAGAAGAAGAUAUUCGUUUGUCAUCGCUCAUUCUCAAAUCGUCGGUGUUGGAGGGGGAAAAAAAAAAAGAAAAGGGACAAACGAAGGAAAUAAUCCAACAUUUGAUAACGCAUAUCGCAAACAACAUCGUGCAAAGUUUCGAUUGACCAGUUGAAUGGCUCAUAUUUAUUGGCUCUUACUCUUUGAAAGAUCUUGAUCGUUACGUUACAUUGCCGACUGUUUGGGAAAGAAAGGAAAUCGAGCCUAGAGGGAGAUUCGUGUUUGUAGUAGUAUACGAGCAAGAAGACAUUUCUGGCCGACUUCUUCGUAAGAUUCGACUUUCCUAGCGUGGAAAGAAGUUUGAGGAACAUCGAGGAACGAAACGAAAUCCCAUUUGGUUUUACGCCACGAAGCCUCGUUUUUCCCCUUCUGGAUCAGGUUUAUCUUUCCGUCGGCAUCAUGGAACGAAGGAUCCUGAAAAUGUGGUGACGACGUGAUAGGCGAAGGCCUUCGAUUAUCGAGACACUAUCAAGUGGUGUGAGCCAUAGUCGUUAGAAAGAAAAUCGAAAUAUAUUUUUACGUGUCCAGUGACACCCCAAGUUAAGAGCGACGAAAUCGUUUUUAACGUAUAAUAUAUAUAUAUAUAUAAAAAAAAAAAAAAAAGAAACGAAUUUUUAUCGAGAAUAAUAAAACGAAAUAGAAUUUCUAGAAAUUCAAAUCCUGAUCUAAGUUUCAUCUUACUAACAAGUGACAAAGUUUCGGUCGAACUUCCAUUCCAUCGAACAUUUUAUUCGAGAAUAAUACGACAGGAAGAAGAGAGAAAGAGUGAGAGAGAGAGAGAGGGAGAGAGAGAGAGAGAAAGUAACAAAUAACUGUUCUUUCGCGAAACUCGUAGAUUUUCAAGAAAAAAAAA